rnacentral:rRNA from 1 species
UGCAAGUCGAACGGCAGCACGGGAGCAAUCCUGGUGGCGAGUGGCGAACGGGUGAGUAAUAUAUCGGAACGUGCCCAGUCGUGGGGGAUAACGCAGCGAAAGCUGUGCUAAUACCGCAUACGAUCUACGGAUGAAAGCGGGGGAUCGCAAGACCUCGCGCGAUUGGAGCGGCCGAUAUCAGAUUAGCUAGUUGGUGGGGUAAAAGCCCACCAAGGCGACGAUCUGUAGCUGGUCUGAGAGGACGACCAGCCACACUGGAACUGAGACACGGUCCAGACUCCUACGGGAGGCAGCAGUGGGGAAUUUUGGACAAUGGGCGCAAGCCUGAUCCAGCAAUGCCGCGUGCAGGAUGAAGGCCUUCGGGUUGUAAACUGCUUUUGUACGGAACGAAACGGUCUGCCCUAAUACGGUGGGCUAAUGACGGUACCGUAAGAAUAAGCACCGGCUAACUACGUGCCAGCAGCCGCGGUAAUACGUAGGGUGCGAGCGUUAAUCGGAAUUACUGGGCGUAAAGCGUGCGCAGGCGGUUAUAUAAGACAGAUGUGAAAUCCCCGGGCUCAACCUGGGACCUGCAUUUUGUGACUGUAUA